rnacentral:rRNA from 1 species
UUGAUCCUGCCGGACCUGACUGCUAUCGGAUUGAUACUAAGCCAUGCGAGUCUUUGCAGUAAUGCAAGGCAUACGGCUCAGUAACACGUAGUCAACUUACCCUAUGGACGAGGAUAAUCUCGGGAAACUGAGCAUAAUACUCGAUAGAUCAUAAUGCCUGGAAUGGUUUAUGGUUAAAAUGAUUCGUCGCCAUAGGAUGGGACUGCGGCCUAUCAGCUUGUUGGUGAGGUAAUGGCCCACCAAGGCGAUUACAGGUACGGGCUCUGAGAGGAGAAGCCCGGAGAUGGGUACUGAGACAAGGACCCAGGCCCUAUGGGGCGCAGCAGGCGAGAAAACUUUGCAAUGUGCGAAAGCACGACAAGGUUAAUCCGAGUGAUUUCUGCUAAAGAAAUCUUUUGCAAGUCAUAAAACCACUAGUGAAUAAGGGGUGGGCAAGUUCUGGUGUCAGCCGCCGCGGUAAAACCAGCACCUCAAGUGGUCAGGAGGAUUAUUGGGCCUAAAGCAUCCGUAGCCGGCUCUGUAAGUUUUCGGUUAAAUCCAUGUGCUCAACACAUGGGCUGCCGAAAAUACUGCAUAGCUAGGGAGUGGGAGAGGUAGACGGUACUCGGUAGGAAGGGGUAAAAUCCUUUGAUCUAUCGAUGACCACCUGUGGCGAAGGCGGUCUACCAGAACACGUUCGACGGUGAGGGAUGAAAGCUGGGGGAGCAAACCGGAUUAGAUACCCGGGUAGUCCCAGCUGUAAACGAUGCAGACUCGAUGAUGCAUUGGCAUAUAGCCAGUGCAGUGUCGCAGGGAAGCCGUUAAGUCUGCCGCCUGGGAAGUACGUACGCAAGUAUGAAACUUAAAGGAAUUGGCGGGGGAGCACCACAAGGGGUGAAGCCUGCGGUUCAAUUGGAUUCAACGCCGGA